CCAUGGGAGAUACUUUGUCUAGGUUAGAUCUCUCAAGUUAGUACGACAGUGAUGACUAAAUCAGGGGAGAAGGGCAGAAUUUGACACAUGGAAUGAUUUAUGUCUCUGGUCUAUACAGAAAAAAGCAGGCAACAAUCAAUUCAAGUUUUUUCUUGUUCUGUUUCAGACCGCAAGGGGACUCAGAAAUGUCACCAUUUUUGGCUGUAAAGAGAGAAAUUCGUGCUGCAUGCUGGGCAGCAUCUCUCCUCUGCUCCCGUGGGUAUUUCUCAGGGCCCUCAGCGCAGCAUUAGCCGUUUGCUGGUACAACUCCUACAGGCGUGCAUACAACGUCCGCUGGGACCCCAUGUGCCCUGGCCAUCCUAUAUCCCUGACAGGAAGCUCAGCGAUGACACAUUUUCAGAUGCUUGCCAGGUAUUUAUGGAUUGGAGCAAUGAAAAUUGCAGCACACAUCUGUCACAUGUGU
rnacentral:lncRNA from 1 species